ensembl:lncRNA
CACAAAUUCCAGCUACAAGGCAGAAACAUAAAAGAAUCUCUAUGUGGCUGCUUCAGUAAUAAAGUAAUUUGCUGAUAAAUUCAUCAGGAAAAGUGUACUACAGAGAACAGGAUGAACAACCUUAUCCUGGCUUCAUAGGAGAGGUGCUCUGGCCCACUGAUCAUCUUCAUAGACAUCCUCUGGGCAUGUCCAAUAGGUCCAUGUAUUUCUUGUGCUGGGGGAUUCCAGAGCUCAGUGCAUAACUCCAGGCCAUUUCUCAUGAGAGCAGAGAAGCUUGGAGAAACGGGGCAAUAUGAUCAAAGUCAGACCACUUGCAGUCAUCAAAGAAGACCAUUGUGCAGUUAUGUGCGUUAACAAAGCUUUGUCUUACAUAAGAAUGGAGGGACACACUGAGUUCACUCAGGAAUGAUUACUGCAAGGGAGAGUGACUUGACUCAUUGUAGACUUUUCUCACGGUUCAGAUUAUUCUUCACCUUUGGAGAGAGAAAGCAGGAAUUCUGGGAAGAAGUUGGGACCACAAACUUGGGUAUA